rnacentral:rRNA from 1 species
CCUACGGGGGGCAGCAGUGGGGGAUAUUGCACAAUGGGGGAAACCCUGAUGCAGCGACGCCGCGUGGGCGAAGAAGUAUUUCGGUAUGUAAAGCCCUAUCAGCAGGGAAGAAGAAAUGACGGUACCUGAGUAAGAAGCACCGGCUAAAUACGUGCCAGCAGCCGCGGUAAUACGUAUGGUGCAAGCGUUAUCCGGAUUUACUGGGUGUAAAGGGAGCGCAGGCGGCACGGCAAGCCUGGAGUGAAAGGCGGGGGCUCAACCCCCGGACUGCUCUGGAAACUGUACGGCUGGAGUGCAGGAGAGGG